AUUGAACGCUGGCGGCAUGCUUUACACAUGCAAGUCGGACGAGUGGCGAACGGGUGAGUAACGCAUCGGAACGUACCGAGUAAUGGGGGAUAACUGUCCGAAAGGACAGCUAAUACCGCAUAUUAUUCGAGCGGCCGAUUUCUGAUUAGCUGGUUGGCGGGGUAAGGGCCCACCAGGGCGACGAUCAGUAGCGGGUCUGAGAGGAUGAUAUGCAACACUGGGCAGGAGAAACGGCCCAGACUCCGACGGGAGGAAGAAGUGGGGAAUUUGGGACAAUGGGCGCAAUCCUGACCCAGCCAUGCCGCGUGUCUGAAGAAGGCCUUCGGGUUGUAAAGGACUUUUGUCAGGGAAGCGGUACCUGAAGAAUAAGCACCGGCUAACUACGUGCCAGCAGCCGCGGUAAUAC
rnacentral:rRNA from 1 species